GGUUAAGCGACUAAGCGUACACGGUGGAUGCCCUGGCAGUCAGAGGCGAUGAAGGACGUGCUAAUCUGCGAUAAGCGUCGGUAAGGUGAUAUGAACCGUUAUAACCGGCGAUUUCCGAAUGGGGAAACCCAGUGUGAUUCGUCACACUAUCAUUAACUGAAUCCAUAGGUUAAUGAGGCGAACCGGGGGAACUGAAACAUCUAAGUACCCCGAGGAAAAGAAAUCAACCGAGAUUCCCCCAGUAGCGGCGAGCGAACGGGGAGGAGCCCAGAGCCUGAAUCAGUGUGUGUGUUAGUGGAAGCGUCUGGAAAGGCGCGCGAUACAGGGUGACAGCCCCGUACACAAAAAUGCACAUGCUGUGAGCUCGAUGAGUAGGGCGGGACACGUGGUAUCCUGUCUGAAUAUGGGGGGACCAUCCUCCAAGGCUAAAUACUCCUGACUGACCGAUAGUGAACCAGUACCGUGAGGGAAAGGCGAAAAGAACCCCGGCGAGGGGAGUGAAAAAGAACCUGAAACCGUGUACGUACAAGCAGUGGGAGCCUCUUUAUGGGGUGACUGCGUACCUUUUGUAUAAUGGGUCAGCGACUUAUAUUCUGUAGCAAGGUUAACCGAAUAGGGGAGCCGAAGGGAAACCGAGUCUUAACUGGGCGUUAAGUUGCAGGGUAUAGACCCGAAACCCGGUGAUCUAGCCAUGGGCAGGUUGAAGGUUGGGUAACACUAACUGGAGGACCGAACCGACUAAUGUUGAAAAAUUAGCGGAUGACUUGUGGCUGGGGGUGAAAGGCCAAUCAAACCGGGAGAUAGCUGGUUCUCCCCGAAAGCUAUUUAGGUAGCGCCUCGUGAACUCAUCUCCGGGGGUAGAGCACUGUUUCGGCAAGGGGGUCAUCCCGACUUACCAACCCGAUGCAAACUGCGAAUACCGGAGAAUGUUAUCACGGGAGACACACGGCGGGUGCUAACGUCCGUCGUGAAGAGGGAAACAACCCAGACCGCCAGCUAAGGUCCCAAAGUCAUGGUUAAGUGGGAAACGAUGUGGGAAGGCCCAGACAGCCAGGAUGUUGGCUUAGAAGCAGCCAUCAUUUAAAGAAAGCGUAAUAGCUCACUGGUCGAGUCGGCCUGCGCGGAAGAUGUAACGGGGCUAAACCAUGCACCGAAGCUGCGGCAGCGACGCUUAUGCGUUGUUGGGUAGGGGAGCGUUCUGUAAGCCUGUGAAGGUGUGCUGUGAGGCAUGCUGGAGGUAUCAGAAGUGCGAAUGCUGACAUAAGUAACGAUAAAGCGGGUGAAAAGCCCGCUCGCCGGAAGACCAAGGGUUCCUGUCCAACGUUAAUCGGGGCAGGGUGAGUCGACCCCUAAGGCGAGGCCGAAAGGCGUAGUCGAUGGGAAACAGGUUAAUAUUCCUGUACUUGGUGUUACUGCGAAGGGGGACGGAGAAGGCUAUGUUGGCCGGGCGACGGUUGUCCCGGUUUAAGCGUGUAGGCUGGUUUUCCAGGCAAAUCCGGAAAAUCAAGGCUGAGGCGUGAUGACGAGGCACUACGGUGCUGAAGCAACAAAUGCCCUGCUUCCAGGAAAAGCCUCUAAGCAUCAGGUAACAUCAAAUCGUACCCCAAACCGACACAGGUGGUCAGGUAGAGAAUACCAAGGCGCUUGAGAGAACUCGGGUGAAGGAACUAGGCAAAAUGGUGCCGUAACUUCGGGAGAAGGCACGCUGAUAUGUAGGUGAAGUCCCUCGCGGAUGGAGCUGAAAUCAGUCGAAGAUACCAGCUGGCUGCAACUGUUUAUUAAAAACACAGCACUGUGCAAACACGAAAGUGGACGUAUACGGUGUGACGCCUGCCCGGUGCCGGAAGGUUAAUUGAUGGGGUCAGCGCAAGCGAAGCUCUUGAUCGAAGCCCCGGUAAACGGCGGCCGUAACUAUAACGGUCCUAAGGUAGCGAAAUUCCUUGUCGGGUAAGUUCCGACCUGCACGAAUGGCGUAAUGAUGGCCAGGCUGUCUCCACCCGAGACUCAGUGAAAUUGAACUCGCUGUGAAGAUGCAGUGUACCCGCGGCAAGACGGAAAGACCCCGUGAACCUUUACUAUAGCUUGACACUGAACAUUGAGCCUUGAUGUGUAGGAUAGGUGGGAGGCUUAGAAGUGUGGACGCCAGUCUGCAUGGAGCCGACCUUGAAAUACCACCCUUUAAUGUUUGAUGUUCUAACGUUGACCCGUAAUCCGGGUUGCGGACAGUGUCUGGUGGGUAGUUUGACUGGGGCGGUCUCCUCCUAAAGAGUAACGGAGGAGCACGAAGGUUGGCUAAUCCUGGUCGGACAUCAGGAGGUUAGUGCAAUGGCAUAAGCCAGCUUGACUGCGAGCGUGACGGCGCGAGCAGGUGCGAAAGCAGGUCAUAGUGAUCCGGUGGUUCUGAAUGGAAGGGCCAUCGCUCAACGGAUAAAAGGUACUCCGGGGAUAACAGGCUGAUACCGCCCAAGAGUUCAUAUCGACGGCGGUGUUUGGCACCUCGAUGUCGGCUCAUCACAUCCUGGGGCUGAAGUAGGUCCCAAGGGUAUGGCUGUUCGCCAUUUAAAGUGGUACGCGAGCUGGGUUUAGAACGUCGUGAGACAGUUCGGUCCCUAUCUGCCGUGGGCGCUGGAGAACUGAGGGGGCUGCUCCUAGUACGAGAGGACCGGAGUGGACGCAUCACUGGUGUUCGGGUUGUCAUGCCAAUGGCACUGCCCGGUAGCUAAAUGCGGAAGAGAUAAGUGCUGAAAGCAUCUAAGCACGAAACUUGCCCCGAGAUGAGUUCUCCCUGACUCCUUGAGAGUCCUGAAGGAACGUUGAAGACGACGACGUUGAUAGGCCGGGUGUGUAAGCGCAGCGAUGCGUUGAGCUAACCGGUACUAAUGAACCGUGAGGCUUAACCUU
rnacentral:rRNA from 1 species